rnacentral:lncRNA from 1 species
UUACAAAACUGGGAUGCGCUGGGGGUGGAGGGCGCUAGUUCGGACUGGAUCCUGGGCCCGAGGCCUGCUUAUUUGCAUAAUCCUAGCGCGGGACAAUGAAAGGCCUCCCGCACUGGAAGGAGUGAUUUGCAUAUUCCCCGGAGGGGCCUUACUCCAGAGCGCAGUGAUUAGCAUAUGGCGGGGGCAACCUGAGCAAAGCGCAUGCGCGCAGGGACUGCAGACUGACGCGAAGUGGGUAGCCUUGUCUUCGUAGGGGAUCAGUUUGCAUCCUGAGAGAGGGCACGAGGGCCAGGACCCCUCCCAACCAGGAUAAAGGUUUAUUGAUCUCCUAGGUGUCAGGCCCCAUGCUGGCGGAUUCUGUGGUUUCUGCAGUGAACCAUACUCCUGUACUCACGGCACCCCAGUCGAAGGAGAUACGCACCUAAUUAGACAACUACUACCCAGAAGGUCAGACCUGGAGUGAGGAACACAGGGGGCUGUGGGAGCCUAAGAGGCGCUUGCCCCGGCCUCUGGUUCUAGAAAGACUUCCAGGAGGUGGUGAUCCUUAAGCCAAGUACGAAUAGGAGCCAACUAGAAUGGGAAUGGGUCUGGCAGAAUGAACUGCAAGCGCCAAGGCCCAGAGGCCAAAAAAAAAAAAAAAAAAAUAGAAGCGCAUGUUUUGAUUGAGGAAGCAAGAGCAGCUUAGUAUGCCUAGAACCUAACUGGAGACGGGAAAUGGUUCUAUAGACGAUGUUAGAGUUCAACUAUGGCUACAUUCCAGUCUUCCUGUAAGUGACUUUGUCACAUUCUGGCUUAAAACUCCCCCAAAGGGAUCCCAUUAGGAAAAAAAAAAAAUCCAAAAAUCUUUAUCAUGGCCUCAGGGCUAUACACCUGGUCUGGCCGUGCUUAUCUUUCUGACCCCACCUACUUCCUCCUCCCUCCAUUUCUGUCCAGCUCCACCUUACCCCAAACUCUUUACCAGCUCGGGCCUCUGCUCUUGCCGUUCCCUCCGCCUGAAAAUGCUUUUCCCUCUGACCUUUGAAUACCUACUCUUGUGCUCACCAUUCAUAUCUUGGUACAGAUGUCAAUCUGAGAGGCUUUUCCUGAUCUCUCCAUAAUAGCACUUACACAUUUGACUGGAGUUAUGGAUAAAUCGGGAUUGGCCAUGAGUUGGUGGUGGUUGUAACUGGCAUGAAGAGUACAUGGGGCUGGGCGCGGUGGCUCACGCCCGUAAUCCCAGCACUUUGGGAGGCCGAGGCUGGUGUAUCACCUGAGGUCAGGAGCUUGAGACCAGCCUGGGCAACAUGGUGAAACCCUGCCUCUAUUAAAACUACAAAAAUUAGCCAGGGGUUAUGGGGGGUGCCUGUAAUCCUUGCUACUUGGGAGGCUGAGGCACGAAGAUCACUUGAACCCUGGAGGCAGAGGUUGCAUUGAGUCGAGAUUGAGCCACUGCACUCCAGCCUGGGCCACCCAGCGAGACUCUGGGUCUCGCCUGUAAUCCCAGCACUUUGGGAGGCCGAGGCGGGCGGAUCACGUCAGAAGAUCGAGACCAUCCUGGCCAUCCUAGACCAUUUCUACUAAAAAUACAAAAAAAAAAAAAAAAAAAUUAGCCGGGCGUGGUGGCAGGCGCCUGUAGUCCCAGCUACUCGGGAGGCUGAGGCAGGAGAAUGGCGUGAACACGGGAGGCGGAGCUUGCAGUGAUCCGAGAUGGCGCUACUGCACUCCAGCCUGGGCGACAGAGCGAGACUUGGUCUCAAAAAAAAGAGUACAUGGGACGUUAUUGUCCUGUCUACUCCUGUGGGUUUGAAGUUUUCCAUAAUGACAAUGGCAUACCACAUCACCAUACUCUGCAUUUAUAUUAAUAGUUCUUAUCACAAUCUGAACUUUCUUUGCUUCCUUGUUUUGAGUGUUUUCCUCAUGAAAGCUUCAUGAGGGUAAGAAUGGAGUCGCCCUUUUUCACUUUGGGUUCUCAAUGCUUAGAGCAGGAUCAGAUUUCAGAUUAGUGUAGCGCUGUCUUUAACACUUAACAUUUGCCUGUUUUAUUCACCAUGGACUCUAGAACUUUGAGCAGCACCUGGCACAUCGUAAGAGGUUAUUUUUUAAAGUUAGAAUAAUACAUCUAAAAUGUACAUGAAUGAAUGAGAGGCCUGGGAUGCCAGACUAAAGAGCUUUGACUUGGUCUAAAGGUGAUGGGGAGCUAGGCAAAGGUUUUGAGAGUUUAACUUUAAUUCAAAGUUCCCUUGGAGACUAAUGUCUGGGGUAGGGGGAAGCCAGGGUAAGGGUCCGGGCCAUGGAAUGGGGUAGCUCAGUCGCUAUCAAAAAGACAAGACUGUGACUAUUUGGCUGAAGAAAUGGCCAAACCCAGGUUUCUGGGGAGGUCGAGGUACCCUCAGUGAGGUCAGGACCUUCUCCUGGCCUAUACUGUCCACCAGCAACCAUCACACUCCUCCCUCCCCUCUCCCUUAGUUCCCCUCCCAAUGGUACAGCCCUUGACAGCAGGACAGACACACAGCCACCCCAAACACUU